GGCUACACAUGCAAGUCGAGCGGCAGCGGGAAAGUAGCUUGCUACUUUUGCCGGCGAGCGGCGGACGGGUGAGUAAUGCCUGGGAAAUUGCCCAGUCGAGGGGGAUAACAGUUGGAAACGACUGCUAAUACCGCAUACGCCCUACGGGGGAAAGCAGGGGACCUUCGGGCCUUGCGCGAUUGGAUAUGCCCAGGUGGGAUUAGCUAGUUGGUGAGGUAAUGGCUCACCAAGGCGACGAUCCCUAGCUGGUCUGAGAGGAUGAUCAGCCACACUGGAACUGAGACACGGUCCAGACUCCUACGGGAGGCAGCAGUGGGGAAUAUUGCACAAUGGGGGAAACCCUGAUGCAGCCAUGCCGCGUGGGUGAAGAAGGCCUUCGGGUUGUAAAGCACUUUCCCCGAGGAGGAAAGGGUGAUGCCUAAUACGUAUCCGGUGGGACGGUUCUCCCAGAACAAUCCCCCGUUACUUCGGUGUCCCAGACCGGGGUGGACGGGGAGGGCCAAUUCUUAUUCC
rnacentral:rRNA from 1 species